AUUCCGGGAAGUACGGUCGGCCCGCCCGCGGCAUCCUCGGAGUUCUCGUGCGGGAGGAGCUGGGGCGGGGUGGCGGCGACAACUGGGGCGUCCCACCCUAGGGGCCGUCUUCCCGGACGCCGGGUUGGCCCGCGCGUGGAGCCCUCUGCCCGGCCCGGGGAGUGCCUGGUGGGGACCCCGUUCCUCCUCGUAGGCGGCGGGGACGCGGGAGGCCGGGGGCCCGGAGCCAGCCCGUCCGGGGUCGCAGCGCGCCCUGGGUGGGGUCUUCUGGGCUGCAGCCCCCGUGCCGCCCGCGCUACUCAUGGUGGACGAGCUGUGCCGCCGCCCCAAUUCCUCCCGAAAUUCACACACACAGCCUGCUCACAGGCGCAACUAUUAAAAACGAACGUAGUGUCCAGAUAGACUGACGAUAAAUUCACGAGCAUUUGGCUGUGGGGACGUAAUAAGGUGUCAGGCGCGCUCCUCCUCCGCAGAACGCAGCUGGGUCACAUUUGGGGACUCGGCCCCAAGGACUGUUUUGGGAGGGGAAUGUGCUUUCCAUAGUGAACAAGUAUUGUUUCAGCAAUGUGUAUGCCAGCUGUAUUCUCGGAAGAGUCAGUGAACCUGUGCUUCAGCUGCAGAAGUAGCCCGGGCACAGUGGCCCGCACUGUAAUCCGAGCGCUAUGGGAGGCCCGGUCAGGAGGAUCGCUUGAGCCUAGCAGUACGAGACCAGCCUGGGCAACAUAGUGAGGCCCCAUCUUUCGUGUGUGUGUGUGUGUGAGACGGAGUCUCGUUCUGUCACCCAGGCUGGCGUGCAAUGGUGUGAUCUCGGCUCACCACAACCUCCGCCUCCCGAGUUCAAGCGAUUUUCCUGCCUCAGCCUUCCAAGUAGCUGGGACUACAGGCGCGUGCCAGCAUGCCCGGCUAAUUUUUGCAUUUUAGUAGAGACGGGGUUUCACCAUGCUGGCCAGGCUGGUUUCAAACUCCUGACCUUGUGAUCCGCCCACCUCGGCCUCCCAAAGUGCCGGUAUUACAGGUGUAAGCCACCAUGCCCAGCCCGAUACCCCAUCUUUAUUUAAAAAAAAGAAAGGGAGGGAGGGAGGAAAAGAAAGAAAGGAAGAAAGAGAGGGCCGGGCGCAAUGGCUCACCCCUGUAAUCCCAGCACUUUGGGAGGCUGAGGCAGGCAGAUCAUGGGGUCAGUGGAUCGAGACCAUCCUGGCUAACACGGUGAAACCCCAUCUCUACUAAAAAUACAAAAAAUUAGCCGGGCGUGGUGGCGGGUGUCUGUAGUCCCAGCUACUGGGGAGGCUGAGGCAGGAGAAUGGCGUAAACCCGGGAGGCAGAGCUUGCAGUGAGCGGAGAUGGCGCCACUGCACUCCAGCCUGGGCAACAGAGCGAGACUCUUGUCUCAAAAAAAAAAAAAAAAAGGAAGAAAGAGAGAAAACAACUGCAAAAUUAUGUCUAGAAUCCUGUGACAUGGGGCACCCAGGCCUCUAAAAUACCCUUGCUAUCCCCCAUUACCUUGAGGACCAAACACCUGCCAUGCCUUGGGUAUCUGACUCCCGGCUACACAGCACACCCAGCACUGCACUCAGGUGCAGUGGCUGGUUUCCCAGAGGCCCCAGAGGAGGCUGGGUGCACAGAGUCCAACUGAGGAGCCUCAGGAGUGGAAGAUAGAUGAGUUAAUUUCCAUCGUAAUUACAGCAAGUCGUUGGGCAAAACUCAGCCAGAGAGAUCUGUUGGGGAGAGAGUGGUGUGAUGCACUGACAGGUCCCUGGGUCCAGUAAAGGCUGCUGGAGCCCUCCUCAGGCUGACGGCAGAGCGCUGGCCUCCUGGCGUGGCCCCUGGACUGGGCAGAUUUGGGCCUCGGUGCCUCCAAGGCUGCAGGGGUGGGACCAGGCCAAGCCUGCACACCUGUGCAGUCACAAGCUGCAGGAGGCAGGAAAUCCAGGCAGGCCUGGGUGUGAGGACAGGUUGUGGAGGUCUGCACUGCCAACCCCUUGCCCAUCCAAAGCAUGGCUCUGAGCCAAGGCAACUACUUGGAGGGCAAGCUGGUGAGGUGUGUGAGGGGCACAGUGAGGCUUGAGGGAGGGAGUGGGGAGUGAGAUUCAGAAUCAGAGGACUCAGAUGAACAGCUGAAGACAGGGUGGCUUGGACACCAGAGGGGCUCCCUGAGCUACCUGGACAACGAUUAAGUAUCCCCUUCAGCCCCAGGGUCCACAGGACAGCCCAGCUCCUGGAAGCCGAAUUCCCCUUCAGAGACAACCCAAUUUCUCUCUUUUUUUUUUUUUUUUUUCCGAGACAGAAUUUUGUUCUUGUUGCCCAGGCUGGGGCACAAUGGCGUGAUUCUGGCUCACUGCAACCGCCUUCUCUCAGGUUCAAGUGAUUCUCCUGCCUCAGCCUCUUGAGUAGCUGGGAUUACAGAUGCCCACCACCACGCCCAGCUAAUUUUUGUAUUUUUGUAGAGACAGGGUUUCACCAUGUUGGUUAGGCUGGUCUCGAACUCCCAACCUCAGGUCAUCCACCCGCCUCAGCCUCCCAAAGUGCUGGGAUCACAGGCGUGAGCCACCAUGCCCGGCUGACAACCCAAUUUCUCUGUGCCUGUUUCCCCAGUAACCAGACAAGGUACACACGUCAGGCAGUGCUGUGCAGGGCUGCAGGCCUGGUGCAGAUUGCCACAGGCUGAGGGCAGCAGGGGAGGCCAGCAGAGCCCAGAAGGCCCAGCUGUGUGUCUGUCUUCUGGUAAGGAAACACAGACAAAACAUGGGUUGGAAUAUU
rnacentral:lncRNA from 1 species